ensembl:snoRNA
UGCCCCUGUGGCUAUAUUGAGACACAGGUUAUGCUUCCAUUACAGUAAGUUUAUUGCAGUGGAGACAAUGAGACCUAUAACAUUU